UACAGAGGUCUCGAGCGUUGUUCGGAUUCAUUGGGCGUAAAGGGUGCGUAGGCGGCGGGGUAAGUCUGAUGUGAAAUCCCGGGGCUCAACCCCCGGAAUGGCAUUGGAUACUGCCCUGCUAGAGAACUGGAGAGGAGACUGGAAUUUACGGUGUAGCAGUGAAAUGCGUAGAGAUCGUAAGGAAGACCAGUGGCGAAGGCGAGUCUCUGGACAGUUCCUGACGCUGAGGCACGAAGGCCAGGGGAGCAAACGGG
rnacentral:rRNA from 1 species